CUACGGGGCGCAGCAGUGAGGAAUUUUGCGCAAUGGGGGAAACCCUGACGCAGCAACGCCGCGUGAGUGAUGAAGGCCUACGGGUCGUAAAACUCUGUCAAGUGGGAAGAACCUAUGUAAGGUUAAUACCCUUAUGUACUGACGGUACCACUGAAGGAAGCACCGGCUAACUCCGUGCCAGCAGCCGCGGUAAUACGGAGGGUGCAAGCGUUAUUCGGAAUUAUUGGGCGUAAAGGGCGCGCAGGCGGUUUUGUAAGUCAGAUGUGAAAGCCCGGGGCUUAACCUCGGAAGUGCAUUUGAUACUGCAAGACUAGAGUAUGGGAGGGGGAAGUGGAAUUCCUGGUGUAGAGGUGAAAUUCGUAGAUAUCAGGAGGAACACCAGUGGCGAAGGCGACUUCCUGGACCAAUACUGACGCUGAGGCGCGAAGGCGUGGGGAGCAAACAGGAUUAGAUACCCCCGUAGUC
rnacentral:rRNA from 1 species